rnacentral:rRNA from 1 species
GACGAACGCUGGCGGCGUGCCUAAUACAUGCAAGUAGAACGCUGAAGAGAGGAGCUUGCCCUUCUUGGAUGAGUUGCGAACGGGUGAGUAACGCGUAGGUAACCUGCCUUGUAGCGGGGGAUAACUAUUGGAAACGAUAGCUAAUACCGCAUAACAAUGGAUGACACAUGUCAUUUAUUUGAAAGGGGCAAUUGCUCCACUACAAGAUGGACCUGCGUUGUAUUAGCUAGUAGGUGAGGUAAUGGCUCACCUAGGCGACGAUACAUAGCCGACCUGAGAGGGUGAUCGGCCACACUGGGACUGAGACACGGCCCAGACUCCUACGGGAGGCAGCAGUAGGGAAUCUUCGGCAAUGGGGGCAACCCUGACCGAGCAACGCCGCGUGAGUGAAGAAGGUUUUCGGAUCGUAAAGCUCUGUUGUAAGUCAAGAACGGGUGUGAGAGUGGAAAGUUCACACUGUGACGGUAGCUUACCAGAAAGGGACGGCUAACUACGUG